rnacentral:lncRNA from 1 species
AGAUCCGAGUAGUCAAUUGCCAAGAGUAUCGACCGAUAACAACAUCUUUACAUCGAUAGACACCUAUUCCGGUCUAGUAUAUCGUUCUAACUCGUUAAAUUGAGUCCUUAUGUUUUAGUUUACACCAUAACUCCGACUGAAUUUACACUGGAGACAGUGUAGUUUAAUUCUUUGGGGAGGUUUACUGAUAUUAGUUUAUUUCAUGAGUCUUAUUAAAAUGUUUUCAAAAAUAUGUUUUUAUUAAGUCAAGAAGGAGACAAUGAACUUAUUGAUUUGCUUGUUAUCUAACGACACCAUUCUAGAGUUACAAGUUGCAGAUAGCACUAAAGAUACCAAAGUGGAUCAACAUGUUAACUAUGUUACACUUGUUGAGAAUGUUUGAAGGAACCAAAGCUGACCUCCAACCUAACUGAGCUCAACUUUGCUUGUCUUGGGGCUUGGUAUACAUGGGAUCAGAUUCUUCAAAC